rnacentral:rRNA from 1 species
UACGAAGGGGGCUAGCGUUGUUCGGAAUUACUGGGCGUAAAGGGCGCGUAGGCGGCCGCCUAAGUCAGACGUGAAAUCCCUCGGCUCAACCGGGGAACUGCGUCUGAUACUGGGUGGCUUGAAUUCGGGAGAGGGAUGCGGAAUUCCAGGUGUAGCGGUGAAAUGCGUAGAUAUCGGGAAGAACACCUAUGGCGAAGGCAGCUCUCUGGGACGGUACUGACGCUGAGACGCGAAAGCGUGGGGAGCGAACAGG